rnacentral:rRNA from 1 species
AUUGAACGCUGGCGGCAGGCCUAACACAUGCAAGUCGAACGAGUGGCGGACGGGUGAGUAAUGUCUGGGAAACUGCCUGAUGGAGGGGGAUAACUACUGGAAACGGUAGCUAAUACCGCAUACCAUCGGAUGUGCCCAGAUGGGAUUAGCUAGUAGGUGGGGUAAAGGCUCACCUAGGCGGCGAUCCCUAGCUGGUCUGAGCGGAUGACAGGCCACACUGGAACUGAGAAAAGGUCAAGGAUCCUACGGGAGGCAGAAGUUGGGAAUAUUGCACAAUGGGCGAAAGCCUGAUGCAGCCAUGCCGCGUGUAUGAAGAAGGCCGUCGGGUUGUAAAGUACUUGCAGCGGGGAGGCGUUACCCGCAGAAGAAGCACCGGCUAACUCCGUGCCAGCAGCCGCGGUAAUUC